rnacentral:misc_RNA from 1 species
AAGGCGAGAGUCCAAAAACGUCGUGCUUUGGUGUGUCAGGUUAAAAGAAUGUCAGAUCGAGUUUAUAUGUUGGAAUUUCUAAUGUUUCCAUAGAACUUCCAGUUUAAUGGCAUGCUAUAUUUUAUUAUCAAAAUAAAAAUUGCAGUUGUAGUGUGGAUUCAAGACUUAACAACAUAUUUUACAAAUUGACAGUGUAAUAUGUAAUACUUUGACUCGUUCUUUUAAAUGUCUACCACAGACGACACAUCGUGGUAUCGACAAGAUCGUAGAGGUAAGGACUUACUUAUCUUGGCGUGAGUCACAUAAAAUUGGCAACUGAUGACAACUUAACAACUGUCCGUUUUGUACCGCAUUCCCUUUCUCCCCCUCUCAUGCAAGUCGAGAUCUUUCCUGCCACAAACUAGAUAUUACCGCAAUGUUAUAGUGGCAUGCGUUAUAGGAAAUAAACAUCUUUGUACUGAGUGCAACCGUAAGUUUUGCAGGGGUGACAUAAGCGUGUAUGCAGAUUUAAUUCAAUAUUGGGAUUAGUGCGUCAUUGUUACGUGUUUGUCGUUACCAGGCUGACAGAAGGCCGUUGGUUAGAGACGUUCUGUGCUACACUUGAGUCUGAGAUGAGAGUCAUUCAUCCACUUCUUCCCUCCCUCGACGAUGGUCAGUCAACCCCAUACUGUUUCUUGUGAUUCCAACUAAAGCCUGUUGCAUAUGCCAUGAAGACUUUUGUGUUACCACGACAACCACAACAGAAGUUUAUGGAUGUUCAUGAAGUUGUUUUCUCUGCCAUUUGUCAGAGGUAGCUAAAACGCAGAAACUGUAACAUGGCCCAGGUUGCUCAAAAAACAGAAAGCAAUGGCUCUUCAAUUGGAAAUGGUCUUACUUCUGAAGUUUUACGAGCUCGUACAAUGCAGUACUAUAACAAUUGUGUACCACAGUCUCAUCGUCGUGGUUUACAAGAAGGGGCUCUGUACAAAAGUGGAAGUAUGACACGCUUAAAUGGUUUAGUGAAUGGAGUGAAUAUGCCACCUUCUUUUGGAUCAUCAGAUGUUGGACUCCCUUCAAGUGAAUGUCCUGUUGUGCAAAGCAUUGAGCGACCUCUUCCCCCUCCUUAUCCACGUAGUGACCGUCCACAUAGAACUCACAGCGAGCGUACAAAUCGAGCACCAGGAGAACAUGCUGCUGUUUCAGGAGUUAUGAACAAUAUGAACUCUCAGAGCCGUGUUGGGUUACAUCGUAGUAAUAGUAGUUUAGACCUAGAACACAGUGAAGAAAAUGCAGACAGUAGAACUGGUGUUCUCCAUCGAGAUUAUGGGAGUGCAUCCUCUCUUGAUGUGAUAAGUACAACUGGAGAGACUCAGAGUUUCUUUGCCAUGCUCAGGGAGUAUAAGACUGAUCAAAUUGAUCAGCGAAGUCCAGGACCUGCCAAGAUUCACGAGUACUUGAGGGGCAAAGUUGACCCUGCCCCAACUACACAAAAUGCAUCUAAUGCUUUAGCUAAUGGACCAGAUAGCUUAGAGGAUUCUCAGAGUCCAAGAUUAAAAACUAAAAUACACAAAUUUUGGGAGAUCAAAGACAAAAAAACAAGAAAUAAAUUGCUUGGUAGUGAACCUUCUCUUUUUAAAAAGUUACGAGGAAAGUCUGAAAUAGCUGCUGAAAUUAGUGGUAAAGGCUCAAAUAACUCUCUAGAUGCAGAAAGUAGGUUCGAGGAUAAAUUAAGGAAAAAAGUUUUGGCUCAUUAUGACUGCCAGAGCAUUACUGCUAAUUUAAGUUAUGCAUCAUGUUUGAGAAAUCUGCUAAAUAAAAGAAGGAACACAACUACAGGUGCUUCAGCAGCUUCCAUGAGUAGUAGGACUCCAAACGAUGGUGCUGAAGGCAUGACUGUGGAAGAACCAGAUCCUGGUGAUGACAAAAGCAACAACCUUAUUUUAAGCUGCCCUUUUUUCCGUAAUGAACUUGGAGGAGAAGAAGAAAGAUUUGUAAGUCUUAAUAGAAUAACUUCCAAAAAACAAAAAUGGCAUGAUUUUAUAGGAAGAACAUGGCCAACAUUACAUCGACCUAGUAUGGCAUGCGGACUUUCUGUAUUAGAGAAUGCCAGUGCCCACAGAGAACAGCAAUAUUCUUGUCCUUACCAGCAAUCACAUUUACAGAUAGAAGGUACAGAUCUAGGAGCAAUGUAUUACAGAAGUUACUUCUAUAAUCAAGAUCAUCAGAAUUGGUUUGGUGUUGAUGAAACCUUAGGUCCAAUUGCUAUUAGUAUCAAGAGAGAAAGAGUUGAAGACCCAGGCAACUCGUCACCUUCUGGAAGUUACUCUAUUACUCAAGCACUUUUUCAGUACCGGUUGAUUGUGAGGACCAGUGAAUUGGUGGUAUUACGCGGAAGUGUAUUAGAAGAAGCCAUUCCUUCACUUGGGCGAUCCAGCUCGGGCAGAGGUUCUUUUGCUCGAGAAGUAUUAGAAUAUGUAGCUCCUGAAUUGCAAAUAUCAUGUUUAAGGCUUGCUGUGCCAGGGCAUCAGACUGAAGAACAACUUUUAAAAUUGGAUGAACAAGGGGUAACCAAAACAUAUAAAGUUGGAGUGAUGUAUUGCAAAGCUGGACAGUCUACAGAAGGAGAGAUGUAUAAUAAUGAACUUUCUGGACCAGCUUUUGAAGAAUUCUUGGAAAUGAUUGGUCAGCGUGUUAGAUUAAAAGGCUUUGAGAAGUAUCGAGCUGGACUUGAUAACAAAACAGACACAACAGGACUCUACUCUGUAUACUCCACACUAAAAGACUGUGAAAUAAUGUUUCAUGUCUCGACAAUGUUACCUUAUACCCCUAAUAAUAGGCAGCAGCUGCUAAGGAAAAGACACAUUGGCAAUGAUAUUGUGACUAUUGUUUUCCAAGAACCUGAUGCAUUACCUUUUACACCAAAGAACAUUCGUUCCCACUUUCAACAUGUCUUCAUUGUGGUCCGUGCAAUCAAUCCUUGUACUGAAAACACAUGUUACAGUGUGGCUGUCAGUCGAUCCAAAGAUGUUCCUGUUUUUGGACCACCCAUUCCAGAAAGUGGAACAUACCCCAAAUCCAAAGCAUUUGCUGACUUCUUACUUACAAAAGUGAUAAAUGCUGAAAAUGCUGCUCACCAGUCUGAGAAGUUUGCAAUGAUGGCACAGCGAACAAGACAUGAAUACUUGAAAGAUCUAGCAGCAAAUCAUGUCACAAACACAACUAUAGAUUCAGGCCCAAAAUUUUCUAUUUUGUCAUUUGGUGGAAAAAAGAAGGAGCGUAGUCGAUUAAGGUUCAUUCCUGACAGUUAUGUACAAGGAGCAAUCUCUUGGCAUGUUCAGGUUGAAGACCAUGGUCAAUCUCGUAUGAUAGAUGACUGUCUACUAGGUAUUUCUAUUGAUACAGUAGUUUUGAUUGAAGAAAAUAGCAAGGAAGUAAUAUUUACAUGUCCUUGCAGUUCUGUGAUUGGUUGGUCUUCACAUACUAGUAGUUUAAAAAUUUUCUACCAUCAAGGUGAAUGUCUAGUUUUGAAUACCAAAGAUCCUGAUGUGGAUGAAAUCCAAGAGAUUGUCAGUCGAUUAGCUUGUGUUACCCAAGGAUGUGAGACACAAGAACUGAUUCUCCGUCGAAACAGUCUUGGGCAGUUAGGAUUUCAUGUACAAUAUGAAGGAAUUGUGACAGAUGUUGAAAGCUAUGGGUUUGCCUGGCAGGCUGGGUUGAGACAAGGUAGUCGCCUUGUAGAGAUAUGUAAAGUGGCAGUGGCCACAUUAAGCUAUGAUCAGAUGGUGGAUCUCUUAAAAACAUCCAUGACAGUCUCUGUGACAGUUAUUCCUCCAUUGGCAGAUCGAACACCUCGCAGGGGUUGUGGACUACAGAACUGUAACUACCUUGUAGCCCAAACUGGUGGUGACUAUGAAAAUGUAGGUGGCUGUGAAGAAGAGAAAGCUAAAUAUUCCAAAGACAAAUCAACUCCUCACCAGCAAGCUCCAACUGCAUCAAAGAACAGAAUCACAGCAGCCAGUAAGAGCAGUGGCUCACAACGACCCACUUGUGCAUCAGGGCAAUCUUCCUCCAGUCGAUCUGUUGCUGGAACCACAAGAUACAAGAACAAUGAGGGCAAGGUUAAUCCCAAUGAAAAGAUUUCAAGAGAAACACACGUUGGGCAUUAUACUCUAGGAGUAAAUGGUUCGACAAGAGAAUCCCCUCCUCCAGUUCCUGUUCGCUUCCAGUCAGCAUCUAGUUUUGCUUUUCAUGAAGUAGCAUCUAGUCCACUUCUGUCUCUUCCCGGUCCUCCUCGCACUCCACCACGACAUCACACCAAUUCCACUUCUCAUGCCCAUCAUAGCUCUAGUCACGUAACUCAUUAUCAUCAGCCUGCUUCAGUUCAUGAUCAUGGAGACUUAGAAAGUUCUCUCGCACAUGUUGGAGAUAUGGUGGUUUCCAGAAGUGAGCUCUCUUUAGCUCAGCUUGGGAUUUCUCAGCCUCAUCUACACCACCUUCCUUUUUCUGCAGCUUCAGUCUGUUCUACAGCCUAUACUGCCCCAGUGAAACCCACUGUUGUAGAGUUAAAGGAAUCUUCGUCCAUGUCAAGGGAAUCAAGACGAGGAAAGGCUCAAAAGGCAUCUCCACAUCAAAUUGGUUCCGAUUACCAGUCAGACAGUUCAAGCGAGUGGAUCCAAGGAGCAAGUAGUGCAGAUGAAUUAGCCAGCACCAAUGUUCGGAGUACACCACCUCGAAGUCUUCCUCAUCUCAGAACAGAUUAUAGCACAGAUCCUAGUAAUAAUAGUCCACGGAGCCCUCAUCCAGUAGGAAGAGCAUUAUUAGAACCUUCUCAUGUCAAGUUGAGUCGAUUGCGACCUGGAGUCACAUCUGGUGCAAUUCGAAGUGGAAAACUGGGAGGCACAGGCAGCAGUGGAAGCAGCACUGCUAGCAACAGUACCUUACAGGAAGACCUGCUAAAACUUAUCAGUCCAGACUUCUUAGACAGUGACAGUAACAGUGAGGCUGCAUCCUCUCGUCCAGACUCUGUGCCUUCGGAGAGUGGGUCCCACACUCAGCUGUCCACACCCUACUCUUCUUUAGAAAGAAGUACUGGUGGUAGUCAGAAAAAUGGAAUUGAAAAAAUAUCCGGGACAGCACACCAUCAUGAUGACGUUAUUGUGACCAAAGCUCAGCCAGCCCAGGUGAUUUCUGUGUCGUCACAUCCAGAGGCAAAAAUGUCAAAAGAAGAAAGAUGUAAGGCCACCUUUGCAAAACAAAGCAAGUUGGCUGGAAGAACUCAGUGAAAAACUUGGAAAAAGUGCAAGUGCCUUGGGAGGGUCAUACCAACUUCAAGAAUUGGAAGCUAAGAUAAAUCAGUUACAACAGGAUCUAGCCAAGGAACAAGGUCAAAAAGCCACUCUGGAGGAGCAAGUGAAGCAUCUUCAGGAAGAAAACCUAAGGUUACA